GACGAACGCUGGCGGCGUGCUUAACACAUGCAAGUCGAACGGAAAGGCCCUGCUUUUGUGGGGUGCUCGAGUGGCGAACGGGUGAGUAACACGUGAGUAACCUGCCCUUGACUUUGGGAUAACUUCAGGAAACUGGGGCUAAUACCGGAUAGGAGCUCCUGCUGCAUGGUGGGGGUUGGAAAGUUUCGGCGGUUGGGGAUGGACUCGCGGCUUAUUAGCUUGUUGGUGGGGUAGUGGAUUACCAAGGCUUUGACGGGUAGCCGGCCUGAGAGGGUGACCGGCCACAUUGGGACUGAGAUACGGCCCAGACUCGUACGGGAGGCAGCAGUGGGGAAUAUUGCACAAUGGGCGGAAGCCUGAUGCAGCAACGCCGCGUGCGGGAUGACGGCCUUCGGGUUGUAAACCGCUUUCGCCUGUGACGAAGCGUGAGUGACGGUAAUGGGUAAAGAAGCACCGGCUAACUACGUG
rnacentral:rRNA from 1 species